rnacentral:rRNA from 1 species
GACGAACGCUGGCGGCGUGGAUUAGGCAUGCAAGUCGAACGGCAUCAUCCUUUCGGGGGUGAGAGAGUGGCGAACUGGUGAGUAACACGUAGGUUAUCUACCCUCAAGACGGGGACAACCCAGGGAAACUUGGGCUAAUACCGGAUGUGAGCAACUUUUAGUUGUUUGAAAGGUGGCGUAAGCUGUCGCUUGGGGAUGAGCCUGCGUCCUAUUAGUUAGUUGGUGAGGUAACGGCUCACCUAGGCAAUGAUAGGUAGGCGGCCUUAACGGGUGGUCGCCCACACUGGGAUUGAGAUACGGCCCAGACUCCUACGGGAGGCAGCAGUCGAGAAUAGUCUACAAUGGUCGGAAGACUGAUAGUGCGACGCCGCGUGAACGAUGAAUCCCUUCGGGGUGUAAAGUUCUUUUAUAUGUGAGCAGUGCUUCUUAUAUUAACAGUAUGGGGAGAGAGAUAUUAGCAUAUGAAUAAGCAACGGCUAACUCCGUGCCAGCAGCCGCGGUAA